rnacentral:rRNA from 1 species
UACGUAGGGCGCAAGCGUUGUCCGGAAUUAUUGGGCGUAAAGAGCUCGUAGGUGGCUUGUCACGUCGGGUGUGAAAGCUUGGGGCUUAACUCCAGGUCUGCAUUCGAUACGGGCUGGCUAGAGGUAGGUAGGGGAGAACGGAAUUCCUGGUGUAGCGGUGAAAUGCGCAGAUAUCCGGAGGAACACCGGUGGCGAAGGCGGAUCUCUGGGCCGAUACUGACGCUGAGGAGCGAAAGCGUGGGGAGCGAACAGG